GGAGACUUGCAGAGCUUGCAGGGCUGUGCCAGGAUGGAGCGGAGGGAUAAGCCUUACCCGUGGAAGAACUGUUGAGCUCGCUUCCUGGAAGACAGGGCACACGUCCAGGCACGCGUCCAGGCCCGCCACACGCAGGUUGGCCUCCCCAGCUGGUACAGAGAGAAGUCCGGACCUUCUUCCGUUUGCUGUCAUCUGCGUUCACUGAGUAGACCUUGUGUUGAUGACUGGGACCCAGUGUGUCCCAGGGUUGUGGACUGAACGAAUACCAGGCGCCAGACGUACAGCUCUGCUCCCGUACCUCUGACCCCACGACAAAGGAAGAGAGGCCCUGAGCUUGGCAGCUUCUUGGAACGUCCCAGAAGAUCUGGAGUCUAGAAGGAGAGAACAGGUCUGCAAGGAAGAGAUUCUGUUAAGAGAAUAGAUCUUCAGACUUCUUUCUACACACAGGAAAGGUAACUGUGUGAGGUGAGGGGUGUAUUACAAUUACCUUAAUUGUGAUCAUCAUUUCACAAUGUGUACGUAUAUCAAAUCAUAUUACGCACUUUAAUUCUAUACAAUUUUAUCAAUUAAAAAGAAAGCUGGGAAAAAUACAAAUAAAAUGUCAAGCAGAUCCCCUGAUGGGUGGUUCUGUUGAGUUCAGCUUUAUCCUUGCUGACUGUCUGCCUACUGGGCCUGUCAGUUACUAAUAGAGGGAGUGUGGAAAUCCCUCACGUUAAUAGUGGGUAAUCUAUUUCUCUGCAUUUUUGUCAGUUUUUGCCUCUUGUAUUGUGACGCUUUGUUGUAAAGUGCAUAUAUUUCAAAGAUUAUUGUGUCUUCUCAGAGAAUCGACCCCCCCCUUAUUAUGUAACACCCUCUUUAUUCCUUGGAAGUUUCCUUGUUCAAAUGCCUUUUUUGUCUGAAAUUAGUAUCACUACUCCAACUUUCAUUUGAUUAGUGCCUGUGGUACCCCUCUCCCUGCUCUUUUACUCUUAAUAUUUGUGUGUUUUUAUAUUUAAAUUGGGUUUCUUAUAGACACCAUAGAGUCCGGUCUAGUUUUUCACCUACCCUUACAGUGUCUUCUUUUAACUGGCGUAUUUAGAGCACGCCCAUUUAAAGUGAUUAUUGAUAGUUGGAUUUAUAUCUACCAUGUUUGUCAAAAUUCUGUAUUUGUUGCACUUGUUCUUUGUUUUUUUCUUAAUCUUUCUGUUUCUGCCUUCUCUUCUAAUUGAGCAUUUUUUAUUAUUCCAUUUUCUCUUCUCUCUCAGCGUAUCAGUUAUAUUUCUUUUUAACUUUUUAGUGGUUUCCCUAGACCUAGACUGCGCAACAUAAAUUUACAACUAAUCUAGGUCCACCUUCAGACAACACUGCACCACUGUCUGGGCAGUGUGGGUGUAACAGAGAACCCCCAGCUCCCCACUCCCAUCCCUUCAUAACACUGCUACCGCCUCUUGCACUGACCUCCGCGCUAUGAUCACCCGUAUGUUGUGGCUGUUAUUCCUUUGAACAGUUGUCCUUUAGAGUAAAUAAGAAAAAUAAAAUAUUGUAUUUUAGUCUUCACUUAUGCCUUCUCUGAUACCUUUCCUUUAUUCAUGUAGACUCAAAUUUCUGACUAGUACCAUGCUCCUUCUCUCUGAAGACCAUCUUUAUCAUUGACUGGUGACAAAAAUUCUCUCAGUGCUGUAAGUCUGAGUAUUUCACAUUGAAUUAUGUCCCCCUCCAGAAGUCAUAUGUCAAAGCCCGAGCUCCCAACAUGACUGUAUUUGGAGACGGGGCCUUUAGAAAUGUCAUUGAUGUCACCUGUGGUCAUAAGGGUGGGGCCUUCCUGCAAUUUGGCUGGUGUCCUUGUAGGAAGAGGAAGAGACCCAAGGAUGUGCGCGUGCGCUCAGGGAGGUCAGGCCGUGCGAGGAGACGGCUGUCUCCAAGCCGAGCAGAGAGGCCUCUCGAAAGGCAACACUAAAGCACCUUGAUCUUUGACUUUCAGUCUCCAAAACUGUAGAAAAUCCUUUUUGUGUCGUUGUUUAAAUCACCCAGUUUAUGGUAUUGUGUUAUGGCAGCCCUAGCAAACUGCUAUACCAAGAAAGUCAUUAUUUUCCCUUACUUCGGAAGAAUGAUUUUUCUGAAUAUGUAGACUCCCUUGGUUGGUGGGUUUUUCUUUCACCACUUUAAAUAUUUCAUUCUACUCUCUUCUGGCUUGCAUGAUUUGUGAAGCAAGUCUGAUGUAAUUCCUGCCUUUGUUCCUCUCUAGAUAAGGUGUUUUUAUCCUUUGACUUUUUAAAAGAUUUUUUUCUUUGGCUUUGGCUUUAUGCAAUUUGAAUAUGCUAU